rnacentral:rRNA from 1 species
GACGACGCUGGCGGCGUGGAUUAGGCAUGCAAGUCGAACGGUAUCAUCCUUGGGGGUGAGAGAGUGGCGAACUGGUGAGUAACACGUAGGUUAUCUACCCUCAAGACGGGGACAACCCAGGGAAACUUGGGCUAAUACCGGAUGUGAGCAACUUUUAGUUGUUUGAAAGGUGGCGUAAGCUGUCGCUUGGGGAUGAGCCUGCGUCCUAUUAGUUAGUUGGUGAGGUAACGGCUCACCUAGGCAAUGAUAGGUAGGCGGCCUUAACGGGUGGUCGCCCACACUGGGAUUGAGAUACGGCCCAGACUCCUACGGGAGGCAGCAGUCGAGAAUAGUCUACAAUGGUCGGAAGACUGAUAGUGCGACGCCGCGUGAACGAUGAAUCCCUUCGGGGUGUAAAGUUCUUUUAUAUGUGAGCAGUGCUUCUUAUAUUAACAGUAUGGGGAGAGAGAUAUUAGCAUAUGAAUAAGCAACGGCUAACUCCGUG